rnacentral:lncRNA from 1 species
GACAGAGGAGAGAGAGGAGAGAGGGAGAGGCGAGCUUUCGGAGAGGAGCAGCAGGCAGGAGGAGGAUCUGGCAUAGCGGCUGGGAGAGGAAACUUGACGCUUCGGGGCCAGCAUUUGCCAGGGCCUUACUCGAGACGCCGAAAGGAGCCUGUUUGCGUACUGCGGCUGCCCUGUGAUUCUGGAUCUUGUCUCCUGGCCGGCGCCUCGAUUCCUACCCAGCUGGAUUGGGGGGCAACACUGCCUGGCGCAGCCAAGAGAGCGAAUGAGACCACAAAGAAGCAUAAAAUGAAUAGAUAAUCCAACCAACCAAAGACCCGGGGCAGCAGCACGCCAGCAAGACGGCAUCUUCUCCUCCCCAGCCUAGAAGCCCUGUGAAAUCGAGGAUCUUCCCCCUAAAACACACACGCACAAGAUAUGUGCAAUCAAGCUGCCACCGCUUGGUAAAAAACCUCAUGGUGCCUACCCCAAAGGAUCCGGAGCAGAUCCUUGAAUCAGCUGUCACUUCUUCUAUAGAAUGGGAUUUUUUUUUUCCUUCCUCCUUAACCUGCGCUGGAAAUUGCCUUUGGCUUUACACGUCUCUAUAGAGGGAGGCUAAAGAGUCUUGCGUGAGAAUGAAGCAAUUUACAAUGCAAAUAGAGGCCUGUGAAGGGACUGAUGCUGCUGCUCACUCGUAACCGCUUUCUGCACCGUAAUAGCUGGUUUUAUUUUCUGAUAUUGAUAGAUGAAUUGUUGGCUAACGCUGCCGGAGAUUACCUGCUGAAAGGAGAAAAAAAAAAGUUUGGAAUAAACUUUGAAAGCCACAGCUCUCGUUUGGAUGUUUUAGCUGCACACACAGACAGAAACCAGGUCAUAUUUACAUACAAGGAGGCAUCUUUUGCGCGGCAAAGUGUCCUGGAGGACUACUCUUCGGUGCUGCCGGAAAGAUUCGCACCUGGAGUAUGGGCCGAAGAAGACAGAGGCUGUGAGGGAAGCGAGUUGUUAUCUUUGGUUAUCUAGCUGUAUGAGUGUAUUGGUCUUCAUAAAGCUAGAUAACCGAAAGUAAAAACUCCUUCAAGGUCGCCGGGGAGCGUGUGAGAAUGAACGACAACCAAGAGACAGUAAAAACCGGAAAGGUCAGGAAUACUUAUUGAAUCUAACUUUGUUUUUGUGUUCGUUUUUGCCUUAUGAUGAAAGAUGGGAUGAGAGGAAAUUAAGCGACGCACGUAUGCCAAAACAUAAAGGUGGAGAUAUUUUGCUAGAGGUUGUUGGAGCUGCAAAGGAGACUUGUAUAGUGCUAAUGAGUAAAGGGGCACAUGUAGUGUGUCCUACUUUAAGGCAAAAGUUUACAUAUGGAGGUUUUUUUUUUUUUUUUUUCUUGGAAAGCUGUUGUAGAGAUGUCUGGUACCUAGUCUGUAAAUGAUUCCCUAUAUAUGUAGACUUAGGCUGUUCCCUUCUGAGACCCCUCCCCUGAAAAAUUUAAAGAUUAUGCUUGGAAACUGCAUAUAUUGGGGUUGUAUGUCAAAUUAUAUGAAAUUAGAGCUGGAAGGUUAAUAAUUUGUAUCUACUGAGGAUACUGAGUACAGAAAGCUAGGAGGAAAAAUGCAAAAAAAAAAAAAAAAAAAAAAAGCAAAGAAUGAUUUUUAUUCUUCUAUUCAAAAUACAAGGACAGAUGCUUCUCUGUUCCAAGAGGGUUUCCUUGAGGAAGCUACUGAAGCAGAAAGACAUGAUGGAGACGAGAUCGCCUCCCCUCUUGUCAAAGUGUUAAAAAAAUGUUCUGUCUUACUCUGCGCCUAGCAUUGGAAAUGAAAGUGACAUUUACGCCACAACCCACGUGUGCGCCUCCUCUCUUUUUGUUUAAGGAUGAUCAGGUCUAUCCAGGAAACAGCUCUGGCAUCCCAAACUGAAAUAAUUAGGACGUAUAUAGACCUGACAAAAAUGGAAAGGGGGUGGGGAAUCUGAGGGUCUGUCUUGCCUAAUUGAUUCCACUAAACGGAAUGCGGGAGAUGUGAACGGCAGGACGCUCCGAUUCCCACGCUCGGGGGCAAGUGGUAAAGCGGGGCCCGGCAGCCUAUGACAGACAGCCCUGUUGGGGGGUGGGGGUAUGAAAAAAACAUCAAGUGCACACACCAUACUCAUCUCCAUCGCUUAAGAAAGUAGAGGCAUUUCCCACCCACAGCCAUCUGCAGCCUCCCAAAUGGCAGCGCCAACUGGUCUGUAGCUGCUGCGUACUGUCUGUUUCUGUUAAUUUUAUAAUCGCUGUUUAAUCUGGCCAUUAUUAAGUCUGGCUGUUUUCUUCGGUUGAGAUUUUUAAUAUGUAAGGAAAGCUAGUAGAAAACAGUCCCCCCCCCCCCCAAAGUGCCAUUACUUCCUGCCCCUCAUGUCAAAUUCUCAGUCCCUCAUUUUGGCCUGGUGGACCACCUUUUCUGGCUUUUGUUUUGGGUGGGUUAUAUUUAAAAAUAUGUAUCUCUGUAUAACAGACGUUAUGAUCACUUCAUCAGGCUGUUUACAUCUGAACAUUAUGUAUCUAGGAACUUGGCCUAAUUAUGCUAGUAGGCAUGCACUGGAAGUGAAACUAUAAAAUCCUCAACCUGAAGUGUUAAUUACAACACAAUAAAAGUUUGUUCUGAUAUAGGACCAGCUAAAUGUGUUCUAAACACCCACUUUCAUUUAAUCUAAAAAAGUGACUUUGCUCAGGAGAAACUUUGGCAUUUUAGAGGUUCCCCCCUGUAAUCUUUUAGAGAAAUCCUUACAUUUUUACAUGUGUCACCAAGCAAACAUUUCUAUAGGUAUUUAAAUAUAAAUACAAACCUUGCAUUACAAAAUGUCUGGAAUGACCUGUUACCUUCCAUGUGGCCUAGAUUACUAGCAAUCCCAAAUCCCAAACAUACAGUUUUUCUUCAAAAGCAUUACAUUUUCCUUUGUAGUUUCAAAUCCUUAUAUGACUGCAGACUGGUGAAGCCUGUGAAACCACUGUUAGUUUCAGUUAGAAACUCUGAGAGACUUUAUUAAUGUAAAUUCUCAAUUUGGCUGCUGAACACGUGCCAAAGUUUUACUACUGUAGUGACCGUUGAGAAGACCCUUGUUUAUUUACCUUUGAAGCACUGUUUGUGCAAACAACCUUUCAUUGUUAAGUGCCUGUAUUCCUUUCAUUUACUUCAUGUCCAGGGGUGCUAUUUACCUAGAACCAUUGUCUACUACAAUUAACAUUUACAUUACAAAGUGUGUGGUUUUCUUUCUCAAGGAGGUUCAAUUAAGGCAAUAAGAUGUUUGCUGGGGAAACCUAUUGUUUACUGAAAGCACUCAAUGGAGUCAAAUUACUGAAGCUUUUGCCUACAUCUUGGUCUUUUAUGUAAAUGUGUUAAAUAUAACAUCUAAGGAAAAUAAACAAUAUUAUAAUUAUGUGUUUGCCAUUGUCAUAUCAAACUUGCUUUGUAUCAUACUAAUGUUACAUGACUUAUCGAUCAAUAAAAAUACAUUUCAAUG